UUUACUCUUCCUUUCAAAAUUAAAACCCUAACUCAUCCCCCAAAGAUCAAGAAGUCAUUCCGAAGAUCAAGAAUUCCAAGAAAUGGAUCAAGAUCCGAGUUCUACUCCUUAAGCUAAGUAAUCUAAGGUACGUGGAUUUUCCUAAACUACAUGGUCUGGCUGAAAAUACUUUGAAUAUGGUUUAAAGUUUAGAAAUCAUGAAUUUACAAAGGGGUUUGGAAUUUACAUUUCAAUUUUGCACUAUGAAUUGUUUAAUGAUAUUAUUGUUUUGGUCUUGAGGCCUUUUCCGCCAAAUUGAUUUGUACUUGUAUAUAUGUAUGUAUGAAGUUGAGUUUUGAGAUUUAAUUGAGAGCGUUAAAAUAUAGAAUCCCUCUCUUGCUAUGAUUUCCUAUUGUUUUCAUACGAUAUGGAUUGUUUCAAAUGCAUUUUUGAGAAGCAUGACACAAAUGUCUUGAAUAUUGUUUAUGACUUGAUUAUGAUUUUGAAUUAAAGAGAGAGGGUGAUUCUUGCUAAUAUAAAUGAAAAGUGUUGAUUCAAAAAGAUUGCAUGAUUUGUUAUAAAAUACUUGACCACCACAUGUUUGUUGAAAUGUUUAAAAGAGAGCCUUGCAUAUUUUACAUAUGAUUGCAAUAUGAAUUCUCUUGAACUGUUUGAACGAUAUGGUGGUCCAAAUUUUAUGUUUUGAAUGAAAAUACUAUAACAUUAUAUUUUAUGGUUCAGAAUUAUGACUUGCAAGUCUUGGUAUGACGAUACCAAAUCAGAUAAGGCCAUGAUAAAACACAGAACAGAAUGCAGAUUUCAGAUUUCGAAUUCAGAAAGAUGCAUGUUUAGAAUGGGUUAAAACUUGGCACUAAGAGAGUUAGGUGGUUACCCGAAGAAGGCACGAGUCAUAUGAUUCAUUGCCCGAAACAGUGUUUUGCCGAUAUGGGUAUAUUAUUAUACGCUGGACUAGUGCCCUAUGGCGUAUCAUAUUCAGAUACUUCAACCCUUGCGGCAAACUUGGGUUGGGGGCUUGGCCGUCGAGUUAAUGACGGAUCCUAUAUUGCCGUGAGAAACUUUCAGAUAUGUAGGGUGUACCACUUAGCUCAGAAGUAAUGCAAAGAAUAAAUUUCAUUGACAAGAUUGUUUUAAGAUCUUUUGAAAUGGCCCAUGUAUUUUAAACUAUUUCAUGCAUAAUGUUUUAUGACUUGAUCUCACCUAUGUUAUAUAUGUAUAAAUUCAUUAUUUUGGAUUGCUCUGUGUACCAAUACAUAUGUAUUGAUCCCCCUUCCAUCUCAG
rnacentral:lncRNA from 1 species